CCUACGGGUGGCAGCAGUGGGGAAUUUUGGACAAUGGGCGAAAGCCUGAUCCAGCAAUGCCGCGUGCAGGAUGAAGGCCCUCGGGUUGUAAACUGCUUUUGUACGGAACGAAAAGCCUGGGGCUAAUAUCCCCGGGUCAUGACGGUACCGUAAGAAUAAGCACCGGCUAACUACGUGCCAGCAGCCGCGGUAAUACGUAGGGUGCAAGCGUUAAUCGGAAUUACUGGGCGUAAAGCGUGCGCAGGCGGUUUUGUAAGACAGUGGUGAAAUCCCCGGGCUCAACCUGGGAACUGCCAUUGUGACUGCAAGGCUAGAGUGCGGCAGAGGGGGAUGGAAUUCCGCGUGUAGCAGUGAAAUGCGUAGAUAUGCGGAGGAACACCGAUGGCGAAGGCAAUCCCCUGGGCCUGCACUGACGCUCAUGCACGAAAGCGUGGGGAGCAAACAGGAUUAGAUACCCCAGUAGUC
rnacentral:rRNA from 1 species